rnacentral:rRNA from 1 species
GAUGAACGCUGGCGGCGUGCCUAAUACAUGCAAGUCGAGCGAACAGACGAGGAGCUUGCUCCUCUGACGUUAGCGGCGGACGGGUGAGUAACACGUGGAUAACCUACCUAUAAGACUGGGAUAACUUCGGGAAACCGGAGCUAAUACCGGAUAAUAUAUUGAACCGCAUGGUUCAAUAGUGGAAGACGGUUUUGCUGUCACUUAUAGAUGGAUCCGCGCCGCAUUAGCUAGUUGGUAAGGUAACGGCUUACCAAGGCAACGAUGCGUAGCCGACCUGAGAGGGUGAUAGGCCACACUGGAACUGAGACACGGUCCAGACUCCUACGGGAGGCAGCAGUAGGGAAUCUUCCGCAAUGGGCGGAAGCCUGACGGAGCAACGCCGCGUGAGUGAUGAAGGUCUUCGGAUCGUAAAACUCUGUUAUUAGGGAAGAACAAAUGUGUAAGUAACUAUGCACGUCUUGACGGUACCUAAUCAGAAAGCCACGGCUAACUACGUG